rnacentral:rRNA from 1 species
AUGGAGAGCUCGUCGCCUUCGGUGCCGUUCCCGCUGCUGCAGGCGCCAGUGGAGAGCACGUACCGUGCCUGCACCAUACCCUACCGCUUCCCCUCCGACAACCCCCGCAAGGCCACCCCCGUCGAGAUCCAGUGGAUCGACCUCUUCCUGAAGUCCGUGCCAUCCUUCAGGCAGCGGGCGGAGAAUGACCCCACGGUGCCGGAUGCCCCCGCCAAGGCCGAGAAGUUUGCUCAGAGGUACACUGAUAUGCUUGAGGAGUUGAAGAAGAACCCAGAGAGCCAUGGAGGACCUCCUGAUUGCAUACUUCUUUGUAGGCUUCGUGAGCUAAUCCUUAGAGAAUUGGGGUUUCAUGACAUCUUCAAGAAGGUCAAGGACGAGGAGAACGCUAAGGCUAUGUCACUGUUUGAGGGAGUUGUUCAGCGGAAUGAUGAAAUAGAAGACGGUGAGAAACGAGCAGAGAACUUGAUCCGUGGAAUCUUAGCAGGAAACAUAUUUGACCUAGGGUCUGCACAGCUUGCAGAAGUUUUUGCUAAAGAUGGUAUGUCCUUCUUGGCGAGUUGCCAGAAUCUUUUAUCUCGACCUUGGGUUAUUGAUGACCUAGAUGCAUUUAAAAGCAAAUGGACCAAGAAAUCUUGGGAAAAGGCAGUUAUUUUUGUUGAUAAUUCUGGUGCUGAUAUCAUAUUGGGCAUAUUACCAUUUGCGAGGGAGUUGCUCCGACGUGGCACUAAGGUGAUACUUGCUGCCAAUGACAUGCCUUCCAUCAAUGAUAUCACUUACCUAGAGUUGGUUGAGAUUGUAAACAAGCUCAAGGACGAAAAUGGAAAGCUUGCAGGUGUGGAUGUAUCCGACCUCAUUGUUGCCAACUCCGGGAACGAUCUGCCAGUAAUAGAUUUGUCUAGCGUCGCACCGGAACUAGCCUAUAUGGCAAGCGAUGCUGACUUGGUCAUCCUAGAAGGCAUGGGAAGAGGAAUCGAAACCAACCUGUACGCACAAAUGAAAUGUGACUCGAUCAAGAUUGGAAUGGUCAAGCAUCCUGAAGUGGCGCAGUUUUUGGGUGGAAGGCUUUAUGAUUGUGUCUUCAAGUUCAACGAGGCCUGA